UCUACGGGUGGCAGCAGUGGGGAAUAUUGGGCAAUGGAGGCAACUCUGACCCAGCAACGCCGCGUGAAUGAUGAAGGUCUUCGGAUUGUAAAGUUCUUUUCUAAGGGAAGAAGAAAGUGACGGUACCUUAGGAAUAAGCCUCGGCUAACUACGUGCCAGCAGCCGCGGUAAUACGUAGGAGGCAAGCGUUAUCCGGAAUGACUGGGCGUAAAGGGUGCGUAGGUGGUUCAGCAAGUUAGUAGCGUAACUCCGGGGCUCAACCUCGGCACUACUACUAAAACUGUUGGACGUGAGUGCAGGAGGGGCAACUGGAAUGCCUAGUGUAGCGGUGGAAUGCGUAGAUAUUAGGAGGAACACCAGUGGCGAAGGCGGCUUACUGGACUGUAACUGACGUUGAGGCUCGAAAGCGUGGGGAGCAAACAGGAUUAGAUACCCGUGUAGUC
rnacentral:rRNA from 1 species